UACGUAGGGUGCGAGCGUUAAUCGGAAUUACUGGGCGUAAAGCGUGCGCAGGCGGUGAUGUAAGACAGGUGUGAAAUCCCCGGGCUUAACCUGGGAACUGCAUUUGUGACUGCAUCGCUGGAGUGCGGCAGAGGUGAGUGGAAUUCCCGGUGUAGUGGUGAAAUGCGUAGAGAUCGGGAGGAACACCCGUGGCGAAGGCGGCUCACUGGGCCGGUCCUGACGCUGAGACGCGAAGGCGUGGGGAGCGAACGGG
rnacentral:rRNA from 1 species